UUCCCACCCCGCUUUUUUAACAGAUCCCCCACUUAGGGGAAGCCAGUUAGCCAUGGAACCGGGGUCUUCUAAUUUCCAUGGCGCCGCGCCUUCCCGGCCAGCCCCGUUUUAUGUGAGGACAGUUUCCCGGCGGCACCCAGCAGUUUAUGCCGUCUGUUCGCAAACUUUCUAGGUUAAGAGCCCCUUGCAGAAUCGGGAACCCCACCCCAGAGUAGAACAAUGACCGCUACUUUCUACUGAGGCUAUUUUGUGUCUUUAUUACCUUUGAAUCUUAACAAUGCUCCAAACAGUUCUCCAUCUUACAAACAAACGCUCAUAACCAAGCCAGGAGGAGGUGCUCUGCCUAGGACACAGGGUUGUGAGACCCUGAAAGAGUUUUCAUUCAGCUCCCCUUAGAACAACAGCUCAGUUGUGGGAAGAAGGGAUUGUUGGUUCAUUUUACAAAUGAAGUCUUCGUUGAAUGAAAAAUGAAGCCAGGCUUCGGGACACUACCAGCACUCAGGAAGCUGGGGCAGGAAGAUGGCUGUGAGUUCAAGGCCAGCCUGGACUACAUACCGAGACCCUGUCUCAAAAAAAAGAAGAAGAAGAAAAGUGUCAUUGCUGCUUCCAGAAGGAGAAUGAGGUGUCCAAGUCAAGAAGCGAUGGGGAGACACCAAGCUGCUGAGGAGAGGGGGCGUGAUUCUGAAGAAGAGUGGUCUAACAGGAAACUUGGGAUGGCUGCAAGGACGGCUGAAACGCUGGAGACCGGGAAGGGGAGGAGCAGCACCCAGGUGCAGUGGGGGCCACAGCCAGAAGGUGGCAGUGGAGAUGGAGAGAGAAACUACAGAGGAAGAAUUAGCACAACUUGGCUGACCCUAGAGGGUUGGCUGCCUGUGAAGAUGCCCCUCUCCACAGCCCUUCAGUCACCUCUGUGAGGCCAGUGGUUCCCAGGUUCCUCCUCCCUUCCUGCUCGCUCCUUCUCAGCCUUACAGGGGACUCGCCCCAGACACUUCUGUCAUUUGUUGGGGUGACUAAGGAUUCUUUCAACUGUCCUCUCAUAUCCGACGUGUUCUGUAGGACAAAGCGAUGUUCGGGUUCUGGGUGAGGUGAGCAAGUCAGGCUGUACCCAAAACCAUCUGCAUAUGAGCAUUUCUCGUAUUUGCCUAGAAAGAUCCCGGAAGGGCCUAAAAAGACCUCGCAGCCUCCAGUAACUUAUUAUCCCCAUGCAUUCUGAUUAUCAUCUUUCAAGCCAAUGACUCCCAAGGACUGUCCCCGGCUCAGAACAUGGGUUCCCCUCUAAGUCCCAUAUUUUGCCUGCAGGAACCCCCCCCCCCAGGAACCUUGAAUUCGCAGGUCCAGAUGAAAACUCGGGAUCUGAAACAUAACAUCUGUUCCUCUGACCCACUUCUGAGGAGAUGGCAUCACCAUAGCCAGAAAUGGGUGUCUGUGGUCCCCAUCCAG